AAAAAUAAAAAAAAUUCCAAAAAACAUUUCCAAUCCCCCCCCUUUUUCCAUUCCCACUCGGGUUCUCCUACCCCAAACCCAAAAUCCCCAAUGUCAAAAAUCCCUAAUCCCUUCCCCCUUUUCCAUUCCCGCUGGUUUUUCCCCCCUCAACCAAAAAUCCCCAAAAAAAACCCUAAUAUGCACACAGCUCUCUCAUUCCUCUCAUUUUAUCUCAUCUCAUCAGUCUCUUUCUCACUCUCAUUUUCAUCUGCACAGAUCGACUCCACACCGAUCAAACUCGCAAGAUCGACUCCUCACCGAUCGACCUCACUCCCUCAUUGCACCGAUCGAUCUCAUAGAUCGACCUCGCAAGAUCAACUCCUCACCGAUCAACCUCGCAAGAUCGACUCCUCACCGAUCAACUUCACGGAUAAGCCCCUCUCUCUCUCUCUCUCACAUCUCAACAUAGUUUGUGUGAGAUGAAAAAAAAAAG